rnacentral:rRNA from 1 species
CCUGCCAGUAGCAUAUGCUUGUCCCAAAGAUUAAGCCAUGCAAGUGAAAGUUCAGCCCAUAAACCGAAACUGCGAAUGGCUCAUUAAAUCAGUUACAAUCGACUUGAGGAGUGAUUCUACAUGGAUAGCCGUGACAAAUUCAGGAUUUUAAUACAUGCAUUAGGCUCUCUUUCGGGAGGGUGUGCUCAAUAGAUCCAAACCUCGUCCUGUUCGCAGGAGCGGUGAAUCAUAUGCAUCAUUCGGACCGCAAAAAUUACUUCGGCGGCACCUCAAUCAAGUAACUGCCCUAUCACGUUGUCGGUAGUGUCUUGGACUACCGAGCGGAUGACGGGUAACGGGGAAUUAGAGUUCGAUUCCGGAGAAAGAGCAUGAGACACGGCUAUUACAUCCAAGGAAGGCAGCAGGCGCGCAAAUUACCCAAUGCGCAUAUGCGUGAGGUAGUGACAGUACGUAGCAAUGGGGCGCACGAGCAAUGUGACCCAAUUGAAAUGAGAAAAAACUAAAGCACUGAAUGAGGAACGAUUGGAGGGCAAGUCUGGUGCCAGCAGCCGCGGUAAUUCCAGCUCCACGAGCGUAUAUUUGAGUUGUUGCAGUUAAAACGUGCGUAGUUGAUGAUCAGGGGCCGCGCUGAUGGCAAGCACCCUCCGGGGUGGACUGCCGGCCGGCACUCUACUGGCCGUGGACCUCGGUCCCGGUCACUAAUACCUCGAACAAAUGAGAGCGCAUGAGGCAGGCACCUGUUGCCGGAAUCGAUUAGCAUGGAAUAACACAUGGACCGCAGUGUCUUGUUGUUGGUUAAAGACGUUGCAGUAAUGAUUAACAGGGGUACUUGGGGCCAACCGUACUCUGGGGCUAGGGGUGAAAUCCUGUGACCCUCAGAAGACGACCUAAUGCGAAAGCAGUUGGCUAAGGUACUUUCAUUGAUCAAGCACGAAGGGUGGGGGAGCAAAGACGAUUAGACACCGUUGUAGUCCCACCAGUAAACUAUGUCGACGCGAUCACGGGUGUCUGUGUUAGCAGCGCUCGGGAGCGUAUAGAAAUUAGAGUCUUUGGACUCUGGGGGGAGUAUGGUCGCAAGUCUGAAACUUAAAGGAAUUGACGGAAGGGCACC